GGAGAGAUUUCCUGGUUCAGAUGACACUCCUGGAGGACUGGAAGAGGAGGCCGCCCAAGAUGGAAGCCAGCUUUUCCAGGAGCUGAACACAGUGGAGGAUUCCUGGCCUUGGGACGUGAUCACCAUUUCUCCUACAGCAGAGGCUGCUUCACCUGUCAUGAAGGGAGAAUCCAAGGGGGUGCUUUCUUCCCAGGUGCAGCCUGAGUAUCCAGAUACUGUGCCUCCCAUGGGGAGCGAAGGGCUCCCAUCAUUGCAGCUGGAGCCUGAGCCUGAGCAGGG
rnacentral:lncRNA from 1 species